rnacentral:rRNA from 1 species
GAUGAACGCUGGCGGCGUGCCUAAUACAUGCAAGUCGAGCGAACAGACGAGGAGCUUGUUCCUCUGACGUUAGCGGCGGACGGGUGAGUAACACGUGGAUAACCUACCUAUAAGACUGGGAUAACUUCGGGAAACCGGAGCUAAUACCGGAUAAUAUAUUGAACCGCAUGGUUCAAUAGUGAAAGACGGUGUUGCUGUCACGUAUAGAUGGAUCCGCGCCGCAUUAGCUAGUUGGUAAGGUAACGGCUUAGCAAGGCGACGAUGCGUUGCCGACCUGAGAGACGGAUCGGCCACCCUGGAACUGAGACACGGUCCAGGCUCCUACGGGAGGCAGCAGUAGGGAAUCGUCCGCAAUGGGCGAGAGCCUGGCAGAGCGGCGCCGCGUGAGUGAUGAAAGUCUUCGGAGCGUGAAACUCUGUUAUGGGGGGAGAACAAAUGUGUAAGUAACUAAGCACGUAUUGACGGUACCUAGUCAGAAAGCCACGGCUAACUACGUG